GACGAACGCUGGCGGCGGGCUUAACACAUGCAAGUCGAACGACGUGGCGAACGGGUGAGUAACCCGUAAUCAACCUGCCCUUCAGAGGGGGACCACAGUGGGAAACGACUGCUAAUACCGCAUACUGAAGGAGGGGUUUGGGUAUGAUUAGCUAGUUGGAUGGGUAACGGCCCACCAAGGCGAUGAUCAGUAGCCGGGCUGGAGGGAGUAACGGCCACAUCGGGACUGGGACACGGCCCAGACUCCCACGGGAGGCAGCAGUGGGGAAUCUUCCGCAAUGGACGACAGUCUGACGGCGCAACGCCGCGGGAGUGAUGACGGCCUUCGGGUUGUAAAGCUCUGUUAAUCGGGACGCGGUACCGGAAUAGAAAGCAACGGCUAACUACGUGCCAGCAGCCGCGGUAAUUC
rnacentral:rRNA from 1 species